AACAGGAUUAGAUACCCUGGUAGUCCACCCCGUAAACGUUGGGAACUAGUUGUGGGGUCCAUUCCACGGAUUCCGUGACGCAGUUAACGCAUUAAGUUCCCCGCCUGGGGAGUACGGCCGCAAGGCUAAAACUCAAAGGAAUUGACGGGGACCCGCACAAGCGGCGGAGCAUGCGGAUUAAUUCGAUGCAACGCGAAGAACCUUACCAAGGCUUGACAUAUACGAGAACGGGCCAGAAAUGGUCAACUCUUUGGACACUCGUAAACAGGUGGUGCAUGGUUGUCGUCAGCUCGUGUCGUGAGAUGUUGGGUUAAGUCCCGCAACGAGCGCAACCCUCGUUCUAUGUUGCCAGCACGUAAUGGUGGGAACUCAUGGGAUACUGCCGGGGUCAACUCGGAGGAAGGUGGGGAUGACGUCAAAUCAUCAUGCCCCUUAUGUCUUGGGCUUCACGCAUGCUACAAUGGCCGGUACAAAGGGCUGCAAUACCGCGAGGUGGAGCGAAUCCCAAAAAGCCGGUCCCAGUUCGGAUUGAGGUCUGCAACUCGACCUCAUGAAGUCGGAGUCGCUAGUAAUCGCGGAUCAGCAACGCUGCGGUGAAUACGUUCCCGGGUCUUGUACACACCGCCCGUCAAGUCAUGAAAGUCGGUAACACCUGAAGCCGGUGGCCUAACCCUUGUGGAGGGAGCCGUCGAAGGUGGGAUCGGUAAUUAGGACUAAGUCGUAACAAGGUAACC
rnacentral:rRNA from 1 species